CUCAUUCCAAAGUUCUUUCCUUUGAAAAGGCAAAGAAAAUGGAUGGUUUACAACAUACCCAGGAGGACCAAACUGUAGGUUGCACAUCAGACCUGUAAAGCUAGAAAGGAGGAAAAUGACCGGUGGCUGGUGAGAACGUCAUCAACAGCCUGACAGCGUGGGAGAGAACGAGGAACAGGAAGUGGGAGAGGAAAAUCCCUCUCCACAGAGGCAGGAGAACGAACUACUGUCCUCAAAAGCAAGGGAAUUGAGCCCUAUGUUAUGUGAAAAUAAAAGCAACAGAUGAUGCUAUCCUCUUAUUUAAAAAACAUGCCACAGAGUAAUGAAGAACAGCCUGCAUAUGUGAGAGCCUUUUUUCCUUUGGUAGUGAUCUGCUUCAGUGGAGUUGUCACAUUAACUCGGUCCUCCUCUGAGAGACCUUCCCCUCAGCUGCCAGCAUCUGUGCUUCCAAUCUGGGAAUAUCGAUUGCACUGGUUCACAUUCCAUCUGCGGUCACAGGUGAGAUGUACAACAGCCCGAUGUCAGAGGAUGGGGAACAUCCUAGCGAAGCAGAGGCCAGGAUGCCAAAUCACAGUGCUACUUAAUCACAAUUAUUUUUCCACAGGUGACAAACCGCGUCCCAACAGAGACAUCAGAGUUUUGGUGGCUGCCUCCUUAUGCCUUGCAGAUCUGUGCUUUUGAAUUAAUUCACACAGAUGUGCUUGCCUACCAUAAAGCCAAAAGUCAGUUUUACAGUUUAAAAUAACAAUCCUUUUAUAAACUCCCCAUCCUCUACCCACUAUUGUUUAAUGAAUAAAAGUAGUCAACACAGU
rnacentral:lncRNA from 1 species